CCCACUCCCAAAUUCGGUGGUGACCGAAGAAGAAGAAAAAGAAGAGAAGAAAAAAGAAGCUUAGGGCGAAGGAAACUGGUGGUGGAAAACAGUACCGACGCAUCGGGUUGACGCCGUACAAACAAGGACAUAGGUAAAGCCUUCCUCACUUUCCUUGAGUUCGACAGUGGAACCUCAUUUUAUUUAUUUUCUGAAGUAAAGUGUAUCAGAAACCAAAUCAUGUUUUGGUACCGAUUUCAACUUAGAAAGAAGGAACCCCCACACCGAGAUUUCCUGCAUCGCCUUUUGUCGAAGAGUUAUGCAGGAAGGUUUCCCAGUGUCCUCUGAUGGGUAGUUGUAGAUCCUGAAAUGAAUGGUAGAAUAGUUUUAAGAUUAGGUACCUGAGUAUGUAAUUUCUGCAUCAAUUAAAGGAUGAGCACCAGUGUUGGAAAUUUAGUUUAGGCACCUAAACUGAUAUGCAUGAGGGAUAUAUCAGCUCUAAUGAAUUCUAUUAAAAUUCCGUAUCUGGGAAGUAUCAUGUUGGGGAGUUAUUUGAGUAAAAUAAGGGGUUGAGAUCUGAUGGGGGAAUGAUUAUAGGAUGGAAACACUAGAAUACAACACAACAAAGCAGGUAAGGAUUUAAAAUUUUAGCCAAUUAAAUUAUAAGAGCAUCUUUGAAAUUUCAAGGUAAAUUAGUGAAGGGUACUGGGCAUUAUAUAGAUGAGAAAAUUAUAAAAAAAAAGAAAUAAAAACAAAAUAGACAACAAGGGGAAUAGCGGAAAAAUAAAUAUAUGUGUGUAUAUAUAUAUACUGAUGUGCAUACACAGGGGAAGAAAUAUAAAAACAAAAUUAGGCAACAAGUGGAAUAGCAGAAAAAUAAUUAUAUAUGCGUAGAUAUAUAUACUGGUGCGCAUACGCAGGGGGAGGAAAUAUAAAAAAAAAAAAAGGCAAUAAGGGGAAUAGUAGAAAAAUAAUUAUGCAUGUGUGUAUAUAUAUACUGGUGUGCAUACGCAGGGGAGGAAAUAUAAAAACAAAAAUUAGUCAACAAGGGGAAUAACAAAAAAAUAAUUAUAUAUGUGCGUGUGUAUAUAUAUAUACCGGUGUGCAUUAUAGAAUUUAGAGGAUUGGUCUGUAUGGGAACAAAAAAUAAUAGUAUGGACAACAUAGAAAAUAAGGGGAAAAUAAUUUAGUUUUAAUAAAAAAAAUAGAUUAGAGAGGAAACAAAGAAGCACAUGUGUGAGUUAAAAGAGGAGAAUAAAUGGGGACAAGAUCUGUUAAAAUAAAUAAAUGGAAAGGGUUGUGAUAUAUUGUCGAGUUAUAUUACAAUGUGCAAACUUGACAAGUAUAUCGUUCAAUCAAUUACCAUUGAGAGAGGGAUGUGUGGGUGAUCGGAUUAACGUUCGAGAUGAGUUUAAUACUCCUUUCACGUGUGAUAGAUGGAUGAUUUAUGGUAAUACGCAUCAUACGAGUUGAGGGAUGAAUGUUAUUACAUAUUUUGGAGUCCCUUUGUACUAGAAAUAGUAUAAUUGUGACUGUUGUUAUUGUAACAUCCCGAGUUCGAAAAAUUUAUCUCAGAAUAGUAAAUUUAAAUUUAUUAAAUAAUAAUAAUAGCUAAGUUUCUUUUUUUUUUUUAAUUUAAAAGAUACAAAAAAUAAUUAUUAAGAAGAAUAUAUACAUUUUGGGAAUAUUUAAAAAUAAAUUUCAGAAACUAGAGCAAAAUUGUAAAUAAAGGGGAGCAAGUUUGAAAGAAAAAUUUGAAAAACAGGGGUCAAUUUGUAAAAAGAAAAAAAAGGGCUAUCUGGAUGUCCAAUCAGUAGCGCAGCGAAUAGCUGCAUGCCGCAUGGCGGCCACAUCAACACGGGCUCCACGCAGGAAACCUACGCUGGCAAUCCGCAUGCCAGGAAGAUAAGACGACUCAUGUCCACUCCUGCGCGGACGAACAAUCCAGAUCAAUUCCCUGAAUAAGCCAAUCGAAUAGCUCCUGUUGCCCCAGACAAACCUGAAUGGACGACCCAGAUCGAUUCUCCAAAUAAGCCCAAUCGAACGACCUUUCUUACCCCACAUCGACCCAAAUGGACUGCCAGGAUCAGGGGAAGAGAGGUAUUUAAACCUCUCUUUAGUCGGCUCCAAAAGCCUAGACGACACAGGUGACCGAAGAAGAAGAAGAAGGGCGAUCGAAGGAGAGAUCAAUCGCUAGAGAGAUGCUACCGCUACCGCGCCAGAACCCAAACGUGCUGGAUAAUCAAGAAAAGUCACAAACUACGAGAGAGGAACGACGGAGCUUGGCUGAGCUGCCGCACUAGAGAAUGAAAAUUGUUGGUAAGGCCAAAAAUUUCCCUUCUUUUCUUUGUAAAACACCCCAUUUCCAUGAUUUAGACUAAUUUCCACAAGGAACCGGCCAAAAUUGAUUUGACCGAGAGAGAGAAGUGCUGGAGAAGGAGAACCAGGCGGCGAAGCUCGGCGGUGCCAUCAUGCUGGAACCCCAACUCGACCCUCGAUGAGUUUUUUUCUAUAUUUUUCACCAUUCUUUACAUAUUUUCACGCUGUUUUGAUGUACGAUUUUAAAUUUUACCAAAAAACCCAAGAAAUCCAAAAACUGGGAACUGUCGUGAACCGUAGUAAGAAAGGCAGUGUCUUGGACUAUAACCUAGGGUAAAAAUUCCUCAACCUUUCCCCUGUUACAAUAAAUUAAAGUUAAAUCAAUAAUAAAUGGUAGAACUAAAUGGUCUUA